AGUGAACGCUGGCGGUAGGCCUAACACAUGCAAGUCGAACGGCAGCACAGUAAGAGCUUGCUCUUACGGGUGGCGAGUGGCGGACGGGUGAGGAAUACAUCGGAAUCUACUUUUUCGUGGGGGAUAACGUAGGGAAACUUACGCUAAUACCGCAUACGCCCUACGGGUGAAAGCAGUGGAUCUUCGGACCUUGCGCGAUUGAAUGAGCCGAUGUCGGAUUAGCUAGUUGGCGGGGUAAAGGCCCACCAAGGCGACGAUCCGUAGCUGGUCUGAGAGGAUGAUCAGCCACACUGGAACUGAGACACGGUCCAGACUCCUACGGGAGGCAGCAGUGGGGAAUAUUGGACAAUGGGCGCAAGCCUGAUCCAGCCAUACCGCGUGGGUGAAGAAGGCCUUCGGGUUGUAAAGCCCUUUUGUUGGGAAAGAAAAGCAGCAGGUUAAUACCCAGCUGUUCUGACGGUACCCAAAGAAUAAGCACCGGCUAACUUCGUG
rnacentral:rRNA from 1 species